CUCUCGAGACAGCAGUGGUCAAGGUGCCACCGUCUACUCUUGCGCCAAAUUCAAUGGUGCACUGAGGUUAAUUCGUUCCACACUGAACAAUCAAAUACUGACUCAGGAUAAUAUAUUCAUCCCUGGAAGCUUCCGUGGCUCAGUGAUUGGUAGAAAGAUUCAAUGCAUUUUUAAUGCUGCAGGUCUCAGCAGCACCACCCGGUCUGCAACCACAGGCACUUUUGUCUUCCUUGUAACAGGCAGCAUAUCAAAUGGUUCUCUGGAUUCUCCAGUCAGUAGACUGACAACAAAUGGGUCUGUGGACUUAAGCAACCCUAACAGCACUGACGUUUCAGUAAUAACACCUAGUACGAAUGCCACUGCAUCUAAUACCACAGCAACAUCAACCACCACGGCGGCUUCUACAAACUUGACCCAGACGCAUCCUCCCAACAUGACCACCAACGUGACCCAAA